AACGAACGCUGGCGGCAGGCUUAACACAUGCAAGUCGAGCGCCCCGCAAGGGGAGCGGCAGACGGGUGAGUAACGCGUGGGAAUCUACCCAUCUCUACGGAAUAACGCAUGGAAACGUGUGCUAAUACCGUAUACGUCCUUCGGGAGAAAGAUUUAUCGGAGAUGGAUGAGCCCGCGUUGGAUUAGCUAGUUGGUGGGGUAAAGGCCUACCAAGGCGACGAUCCAUAGCUGGUCUGAGAGGAUGAUCAGCCACACUGGGACUGCGACACGGCCCAGACUCCUACGGGAGGCAGCAGUGGGGAAUAUUGGACAAUGGGCGCAAGCCUGAUCCAGCCAUGCCGCGUGAGUGAUGAAGGCCCUAGGGUUGUAAAGCUCUUUCACCGGUGAAGAUAAUGACGGUAACCGGAGAAGAAGCCCCGGCUAACUUCGUGCCAGUAGCCGCGGUAAGAC
rnacentral:rRNA from 1 species